CAAGAUUUCUACUGGCCUCAGACCCUGCACACUGUUGCAGGCCUCGCUGAGCCACUGCGGCUGAGUCCUCAGCGGCCUCCAGCAGAGAGCUAGCUGCAUCUUUGGGGACAGCAGGACAGCGGGGAAGCAGCGAACAGCGCGCGAGAGAGCGGCCAACAGUGGGGAUGCGAGCACUAGGCAGGCUCCAGACACCUAAAUCGGGGGCGGAGGUAGUUUUCAAGACAUG